ensembl:lncRNA
UAUAAAGCGCCUUUCCUGUGAGCACUGAUUGUUCAAGUGAUAUUUGAGCUCUCAGAAGCAGCUCCUGAGCCAUCAAGAUACUUAAAAAUGGUACUUAAAAAGGAAAACAAAACCUAAAUAUGCCACAAGAAAUCACAUCUUUGCUAUAAAGACAUCCAGGCUAAGCUAGAUAAGGGUAGAGAGGCUUGAUUUAAUUUCUGUACCCCUGUCAGGCAACCCGAGUGCUGAAUUUUCCCUCCACAAACACAAAGUGAGGUUUCUAACUGAAGCUUAUUAAGGCUUAGUUUGUCUAACCCAAGCAUAAUACAUUCAUGUGUCAAGAUCACAGUUGAUUGUUCAUCAGAGAAAAGUGAGACAAGAUAAUCCACGUUGCUGAAAACGUAAUGCUUUAGGAAUGUUACCAACUACUGCAAAUGUUUAACUCCCUGUGCUUCAUCGGUUAUGUAACAAAAAAACCAUUCAGAGGCUGAUUCUUAUCUCGUGCUCGCAUAAAGCUGUGUCUAGACUAGGAUUUGAAGGUGCGUUGUUUGAAAGUGUCAGCAGAGAGGUCUAGCUGGCGGAUCAGGAAGCCCACCCCGUGAGAGACUUUCCCAGAUGUGGAAUUUUUGAUUCAAUUAAUUUAUAACACAAGGGGGUUGGGCCACUCUGAAAGUAGAGUGUGACUUCAGGUGAGAUACGGAGGUCUUGUCUCUGCCUAGACCUAGUCCAGGGUUUUCAGAAUCUAAGGCUUUGCACAUCAUGGGCAUUAUUCAGUAUAUCCACACUUGUGCCGCAUGCAUGGUAUACAUAGGUAUCUCACAUCAGAUUGGAUAGUACUUUGCUUUUGUAAGGCCUGUGUUAGGUAUAGCAAAUGACCUUGCAGUGAUAGUCCACCCUUUGAUAGCAUCCCGUUAGAGAAAUAUGGUUCCAAUCUUGAUUCCCUGUUCUACCUUAUCUACCUGGGUAUAAUAUUUUUACCUCUUUAUUGCCCCCAUUUCCAACCAACUUGACCCAGCCACUCGCUCCCACUAAACAUAC